rnacentral:rRNA from 1 species
GGGUUAGUAGGUUGGUCAUGCCUCUGGUAUGUACUGGUCUCACUGAUUCCUCCUUCCUGAUGAACCUUAAUGCCAUUAAUUUGGUGUUUUGGGGAAUUUGGACUUUUACUGUGAAAAAAUUAGAGUGUUUAAAGCAGGCUCACGCUUGAAUACAUUAGCAUGGAAUAAUGAAAUUGGACGUUUGAUCCUAUUUUGUUGGUUUCUAGGAUUGACGUA